GUGAGUCAUCGAAUCUUUGAACGCACAUUGCGCCCCUUGGUAUUCCGAGGGGCAUGCCUGUUCGAGCGUCAUGAUCAAAUCUCAAGCAUCUGCUUGGUAUUGGGUUCUCGUCUUACUGCCCUUUGGACAUGAAAUUGACGGACCUGAAAUUCAAUAGUGGUACCUCAGUAGGACUCUAGCGUAGCAGACUGACUCUCGCUUUCGAGAACUUCUGUGGUCUCAUCAAACAAAAAUCAAGUUUGGACCUCGGAUCAGGUAGGGAUACCCGCUGAACUUAAGCAUAUCAAUAAGCGGAGGA
rnacentral:misc_RNA from 1 species